UCUCCGUAGGUGAACCUGCGGAAGGAUCAUUACCAUACGAAAUGCGAGGGGCAUUCGAGGGUUGUCGCUUACCCAAAACUCGUACAGGUCCGUGUGUUUGCUGUUUUAUAAUAGUCCAGCACACCCUGUGUGCAUCACCCCGUGGGUAUCCUUCGGGAUCAUCGCGGAGGGGUAAUCACGUUUUCCCACAAAACCCCCUUGUAAAAGUGUAGAAUGACCUCAUUUAUGCAAUCAAUACAACUCUCAACAACGGAUCUCUUGGCUCUC
rnacentral:misc_RNA from 1 species